GCACGACAAGGUUAGUCCGAGUGAUUUCUGCUAAAGAGAUCUUUUGCUAGUUAUAAAACCACUAGUGAAUAAGGGGUGGGCAAGUUCUGGUGUCAGCCGCCGCGGUAAAACCAGCACCUCAAGUGGUCAGGAUGAUUAUUGGGCCUAAAGCAUCCGUAGCCGGCUCUGUAAGUUUUCGGUUAAAUCUAUGCGCUCAACGUAUGGGCUGCCGAAAAUACUGCAGAGAUAGGGAGUGGGAGAGGUAGACGGUACUCGGUAGGAAGGGGUAAAAUCCUUUGAUCUAUCGAUGACCACCUGUGGCGAAGGCGGUCUACCAGAACACGUUCGACGGUGAGGGAUGAAAGCUGGGGGAGCAAACCGGAUUAGAUACCCGGGUAGUCCCAGCUGUAAACGAUGCAGACUCGAUGAUGCAUUGGCAUAUAGCCAGUGCAGUGUCGCAGGGAAGCCGUUAAGUCUGCCGCCUGGGAAGUACGUACGCAAGUAUGAAACUUAAAGGAAUUGGCGGGGGAGCACCACAAGGGGUGAAGCCUGCGGUUCAAUUGGAGUCAACGCCAGAAAUCUUACCCGGAGAGACAGCAGAAUGAAGGUCAAGCUGAAGACUUUAC
rnacentral:rRNA from 1 species